rnacentral:rRNA from 1 species
UACGUAGGGGGCAAGCGUUAUCCGGAUUUACUGGGUGUAAAGGGAGCGUAGACGGCAGUGCAAGUCUGAAGUGAAAGGCGGGGGCCCGACCCCCGGACUGCUUUGGAAACUGUGCUGCUGGAGUGCAGGAGAGGCAAGUGGAAUUCCUAGUGUAGCGGUGAAAUGCGUAGAUAUUAGGAGGAACACCAGUGGCGAAGGCGGCUUGCUGGACUGUAACUGACGUUGAGGCUCGAAAGCGUGGGGAGCAAACAGG